CAUGGAGUUAAAGAAUCUUAGGCAAGCGUCAUUGUAUAUAGUUUCUAGAGGUUUGGCGUUAUGUUUUUCUUGAAUUUCAGAGUUUAGGCAAUAGAUGUUCGCAUUUGUUAGCUUUCUGAGCAGUUUAUUGUGAGUUCCGGUGAGCUUUUUGAAUAGGGUGUUAGAUAUUAGGCUACCCCAUAUGGGAAUAGCGUAUGUCCAAAUAGGGACUAAGAUUUGCUUGUAGAUAGUGACCUUGCAGCGGGUGCUAAGAUGGCUUUUAGCUCCCCCGAGCCAUUUGUAGCGAGUAUAGGUGGACUUGGCUUGAGCACAAAGUUUGGCAAUAUGGGUUUUAAACAGGAGUUUGCUAUCAACAAGGACUCCCAAGUAUCGGCACGAGGACGUAUUUUUAAUAGGUUUGUUAUUAAACUUAACAGUGGCAGCUUUAACAGCAGGUGAGGUAGAUCGUCUGGAUAAGAGAACAUGAACUGUUUUACUCACGUUGACUGUGAAACACCAUUUGUUGGACCAGGUAGAGAACUUGUGUAGGUAAUUUUCCGUUUUAUUCAUGGCUACAAGGGCGUUUUUAUCGGUCGAGAUGAAAAUAGUAUCGUCAGCAUAUGUAGAGAGCAGAGUGUCACCGUGUUUAUAGGUCGGGUAAUAUUCGAUCAGGGUUUCAUGCUCAAUUAUGAACUUUGGAAUUGGCAUGUCUGACGAGUAUAUGUUGUAUAGCAGGGGUCCCAAAACACUACCCUGAGGGAUUCCUGCUAAAAUUUUCCCAUCACGGGACAUAAUACCAUGGUUACCGCGAACGGAGAACGUGCGACCCUUGAGACCGCAGUGCCAAACUUUGUCAAACGCUUCUGUAAUAUCGAUGAAUAUAGGCGAUCCAUACAGUUUGUCCUCAAAAGCUCUCUGGAGGAAUUGUGUAACGCGAGCUAGUUGAUGCUCGGCCCCAUGAAAUUUGCAUUUGUAUGGAUUGUGAAAGACGGUUACAUUUAAGGACCCUCUUGGCAAGCAAGGAUUCAAGUAUUUUUGUUUUGUUUGCCUAUGACAAAAAAAAACAACACAUGUUACUCACUUCUUGCCUAUAAGAGGGAAUUUUCCUGACAAUAAGAGCGCUGCCUCAAUGAUUUUGCCAACUGCAAUGACGCCAUGAAUCGAUAUGAUUCGAACUGAUAACCUGCAAGAAACAAUUAUACUAAUCACUAUUAAUGAACAAUAUUUGUAAAUACUAUAUUCUUUAUAAUUAUUGCAGCUUGCAACUUGUUCUUGA